AAGAGGGGCAGGGAGGGGUCCUGGUUCCUUUCCUGGGGAUGAGGUGCCUCAUCCCUGGGUUUGCAGUCAAAGCCUUGGCUGGGGAAGCUGGGUGCUGUCCUCUGAGGCACCAAGGAGCUGCUGAUUGUUGUCCCCUCCAUUUUUUCUUCUGACUCCAGAACUUGACUGCCUUUUAUCUGCCAGAAACCAGCACCAACAUCAGACAGAAAGGGUGUGCUGGACUCAUGGAGACCCCCCUGAGCAGAGAGAAAGCCUUGCCAGCACCUGGCUGUCCCAAGCAUCCAUUUACAGACCUGAAAUCCCAGUUUAAUUCCAUGAGGAGUCUCAAGGCUGUGGAUUCUCCAGAAGAACCUAUUUCUUCUACAACCAGAGGCUGAACAAGAGUGCACCAUUAUAGAAGUUUAAAUAAACCCCAUAAGGUCAUCUGCUGCUUAAAUCCCUGCUACCAGGGUCAUCAGACUGGAGUCACCUUUCUUCCAAAGCUGUGUCUGGGCCUGGAGCUCUGCUUUAUCCUCCUGUCCAAAAGCACUGAAGCACAGCUGAGGAUCUGCUUUCCCUGCAGUCAGUAGUUCCCUGCUCAGACCAUCCACAACAGCCUCCUGGACACAUCUCAGGUGCCACGCUAUCAGAAGGAUGUCCUUUCUGAACUUCUGACAUGAUUUAGCAGGCACAGACCGGCGUGGUCGGUGAAGUCACAUCCUGGAGUGUCACGUUGUGCGCCACAGCCACGUGCUGCCAGGCCAAGAAGCCACCAAUGGGGUUCUCCAUCCAUCCCCCCUGGUGUCAGGCCCUCAAAGGACAGGCUGCAGUGCCAGAAUUGCUGCCUGGACACCUUCUCUAUGGACCCAGGACCUAAUGCUUUUUCAGUCCACACUGAAUGGAAAACUGUCAGGAAAGGGAAAGGAUUCUCGUUUCUUGAUUAAAAAAAAUAAUAGAAAAAGACAAAGAUAUUCAGAUCCAUUGUUCUCCUCAGUGAUUCUCAGGUGACAGCAGAAAGUGAAGAUCCCUGAACCGGCAUUUCACAAUAGCAGUGCUCAGACAAGACUAAGCUCUAUGUGACCAAAAGGCAGUGGCACAGAGUCCAGAGGGCCUUCAUCCCUGAAGCUGAAUGCUGUGGUUCAGCAUGAAAUGAUUGCUGCACUGGAUUUCAGAACUGCAGGCUUCAGCUGCCAUGCAGCCCCUGAGUCCUGCUGCUGUUUCCUGUGACAGACACCCAGUGCAUGCACCAGUGAGUGCUGCUGCCAGCUGGGCUGCCCUGUGGGGCUCCUCUGGGGGCUGAGGCUCAGAGGCUGAUAUCAUCGUGCUGGAACCAGGCUUUGUGGCGACAUGCUUCUCCCUCCCUCUGGCAUCCAGCUCACCCUGGCCACAUGUGCAGCCCAGGCCACGACCUCGGCCUUGGCUGGGCUCUGAUGGCCCAUUUAACAGUCACAGGCUGGAGCGGGAGCUGCUGCUGUGCUAUUUUUAACCAGCUGGACAGUUAAAUAAUUCAGAGGCAGACACACACAGAGUGGUCUGGGCUGUGCCUGGGAUCUGGGAGGGGAGAAGAGCAUUGUACCGACCCUGCUGGGCUUGCUUGACCUUAUCAAGGAUGGGUUCUCAGGCUCUUUAACACAAACACAAAACAAAAACCGAACUUUCAGAAGUGAAAUCCCUGCCUCACUGACGUCAGUGGGACUCCUGGCUCUGGAUCACACUUAGCUGCAAGGCAAGAACUGUUCAGUAUUUCCCUGCUUUCUAAUGCUACAGAACUCUUUUUCCAUGACAAACUUAUGGUGAGUAGAGUCCAGAAUGGCAAGUGUCAAAAUUUCUGGGGGAGAAAAGAAUUGCUUUUAAGAAAUCUCUUUUGAAACAGGAUGUCUUAUGUAUAGCUACUCCCCCUGAUUUUGGACUAAGAAGAGAUCUGCAAAAAAAUAUUUUCUCCCAUCUCUCCAGCCCAGUUCCCCACCAAGCUGUCCUGUGAAGUGCUCCACAGCUCAGUGGAAAGCUGACCCUCUCAGGGAUGCCAGGGAGAGCACAAAACCUGCCAGCAAACCUGCUCCAGCACAGAAUUCCCACAAGGUCAUUGCCUCCUUUGGGCAUCCCCCUGCUCCAGUGUGGGGUCUUCCCCAGGCUACAGGUGAGCAUCUGCUCCACCAUGGACCUUUAUGGGCGGCAUGUGAACAGCCUGCCUCACCAUGGUCAUCAUUCAUUAUGGGAUGCAAAGGAAUUUCUACUCCGGUGCCUGGAGCACCUCCUCCCCCUUCACUGACCUUGAUACCUACAGAGCUGUUUCUCUUGCUUCUUUCUCCAGCUGCAGUUGCACAGGCACUCCCACCCCCCUUCCCCUCCCCACCACCCCUUUUUAAAUCCCCUUUUUAACUCUCAGAGGCUUUAUCCGUGUUGCUGAUGGGCUGAGCCUUGGCCAGUGGUGGGUUCGUCUUGGAGCCAGCUGGCUCUGACUCUGUUGGACACAGGGGAGGCUUCUGGCAGCUCCUCACAGAAGCCACCUCUGCAGCCCCCCUGCCACCAAAACCUUGUCAUGCAAACCCAGUACACUUGUCCAUCAAAUAAAAGGCACAAACUCAGUCUGUAGGCACGAGGGAAUCCACAGAGGAGCUCAACUUUGAAAGACAAAUGCGCAGCAAACCAGGCUUCACUGAUCCUGCUGUUAAUAGGGCUGCUUGUUUCCUUUGAUUCCUGUGUGUUAGCUCAGCUGUGUUUUGGGACCGAACAAGAUCUUUCCACUAGUUCAAUUUCAUACACGUGGUAAAUGACUCUGUGCCUGGAGCACCCAAGGUUCCCGGGUGGUCUCUGUGCAGACACCGAGCUGUUCCUGCUGCUGCCGAGAUCAGGCUAACACAGCUCCCUGUUCCAGGGCGAGAGGAGGAGGAGGAGGAAGCUGCGAGUCCCUUGUGCCUUCCACACUUAAGGUUCUUGCCGUGUCCCCAUGACCCGAAUCAUCACGACAUUUGCAAGCAGCAGAGGCGUGUGAAGUCUUGUUAAAAGAAUGCGGCUUGUGACGAUGCUCGGUGGCUCGAAUGAAUAAUUUGUGGCCAGGGUGACUCAGGCAGUGCGGGCUGGCAGCCAGGAGCGGGCAGAGGAGCCCAGGGCUCGGCAGGCAGCAUGUCCUGAAUAGGAGCAUGGUGUGUCUGAAAGGCCAGCUGGGUAACCCUUCUUCCUGAGAGCCCAUCAGGAGAAUACCAGCAAGGAAAAAGGAAUUUGGCCUCAGAGGUGUGUUUUUCUAGCCAAAAAGUGGGUGGGAAGGCUGAACAUCAGAGUUCAUGUUUGCAAAUGGAAGUGAUAGCACUUGGAAAAUGUGACUCUGGGUUUAUCCUCGCUUCUUUUCUCUACAACUGAGUGAUGCCUGUCUGUCCUUCCUUCUGAGCAUCAAGAAUACAUUCCCUUGGGAGGCAAAAGCCCAGCCUGUUUGACAAUGCAUUCAAAAUAGGAUGCUAUGCCCUGUACAGUGCAGAAGUUCAAUUUUCAGAUAAUACAGAAUUGGGAUGUCUUAUCUAAUACUGCUGGCAGGCUCUCCUGAGAGUCCGCACAGCAAAAUUUACCUGCUUAGUAUGGUGAAUUUAAAUCACCAGAGCCACACCGGCAGAACUCUCCUGUGCAGAACCUCAUUCUGGUCUUAAGUCCUUGAGUAAUUAUUCUGUAAUAAAGUCACUUAAAUUUUAGAAUAGAGUGUCCAUGUGGAGAAGUUAUAAAGGCACAGCUAUAACAGGAUAAUUAUUUUGUUAUAGCUAUGUCAGUCAAUUUCUCAAGGCAUCAGUCACAUGGGAAAGUUGAAAUUAUGUAUUUUUUACAGUCUACAGCAAUUCUUUAUUUUUUAAUGUCCAUUAGUGCUUGACUAAUGCUGAAUGAUAGUGGAAAUUCUCCAGAACAACGACAGUGCUCAGAGUUUCCUCGUGGUUAUCAAAGGAAUUUGGAUCUAUUCUGGUAAAACUAAUAUGUAAUGAAUUGGCAGUGAUUGGGGGUUUAUAGCUGAAUUGACUGGGAAUUAUGAAACCGCAAUUUACUGAACUCAACCAAAACAGCUGAAACUCAGAAAUUUGUAAAGUCCCUAUUUAUGUGUUAAGAGUUCUCAAGAUUUUUAAGAGUACACAGAAAACCAGAUUAAGAUACAAAAUUCUCUUAUUCCCACACAGUGUUGGAUGUUUCAUAUUUCAACACAGGAUUUUAUGACUAAUCAUACCAAUUUUGGGGGUGUCUGAAACAGUUCAGUUCCUGAGUAAGUUGUUAUGAAGUCUAUUCAUUAUGAUUCAUUAUUAACUGUGGUGAAGACAGUCCUUUAGGAUCAAACUGUACCUGUCAAGGACAACGGCACACAUGAGCUUUCUAUGGAGAUAGGCCAGAGCUGGCUUGAGCCUGGAGAUUAAAGCAUAGCAGGAAUUAGGAGCCUGGCUCCCCUCAGAGCUGUCUGUUGGAAUGCUGGAUGGACCAAACAGGUGCCAACUGAAUUUGUCACAGUCACAUCUGAAUCUGAGGUGAAGAGUUACCAGAACAGGGAAGGCCAAAAAUCUCAGUGCACAUGAAAGCACAGUGCAGUUCCUGCACGCCAGGCUGGGCACACAGAGAGCUGCCUGGGGAGAUGGGGCUUCUGCACAGCACAGCAGACCUGGGAUGGGCUUGAUAAAAAGCAUGACUCAAAAUGAAACCUGCUGAUGGCUGGCAGCUGUCUUACAGCAAAAUGGUACCUAAUUACACAUAUUACAUCUCUCUUCCUGGAAAAGGGGCUGGGUUUGAGGUGGAGGAUGCCAACGUGCAUAUCCAAGCAGGGAUGCCAGCUGGGAUGUACACAGGGACAAGGACAGAGCGUGGUUUGUGUGACCGCAGCUGCAGGCAUGUUUGGGUACGUGGAUGGCUUCUUGGUCCCAUCAGUGUCUCCUUGGGCAUAGCCCAUUGUACCAAGAAUGCUCCUCUGUCACUCUCUCCAGUAUCACCACACCAGAAGGAAAGGGCUCUCCAAACUCAGCACUUGUUGUCACACAAGCCCUACUAGAUCCCCACCUCAUUUGCAUUUCAGUUUAUCUCCAUACAUUCACCUCUUUGGUUCUUUAUCUGAAUUUGGGGUUUUUAGGGAAGGAGGAUGGCCCAUUUUGCACAGGGCACAAGGAUAAAGAAAGGACAUCUCUUUCCAGGGCUGCAACACAAAGGUUUAAUCACGGUUCAGAAUAACUGGAGUUAUAAACUGAUGGGGCAUUUAAAAUGUUAUCUAGUUCCAAACAUCGAACGUUCAAAUUCUGCCUUAAGGGGACAUUAGCUGAUUAUCAAACCACAAUGAGAUUCUUAUAACUUUAUUUUAAUAAACAGUUUUCAUAAAUGUUAACAUUUUAAUGGAUGAUUACAUUCAUAUUUAGCUAGCAGAUGCAUUCAUGUUGAUUGAUG